CCUGGCUUCUAAGGGCUCACAGCAUCAGAGCAGAGAGACAGUACAUGGUGGAGUUUGGUACAGCGUGGAAGGAUGGGACCAGGAUCUUUCCAGAGCUUUUUCAGGAUGUGGGAUCAAAAUCUAUGAAGAGAUCUAUCCAUAGGAUGAAUGCUCCCCACGGAGGAGCUAGUGGGGGUGGGGCGCAGGAACAAAUGCUGAGGGGGCUUCGGAGGCAUGCGCCGCCCCGACGGAGACUGCCUGGUCCUGGGGAGGAGGUGGGCAGGACCCCCACCCUGCAGGUUGCUGUGGCUGGGUGUUCCAAGAGAACAGCGGGACCCUGGGGCUGUGACAGGAUGGCUAGGACAAUGACAAUGACAAGUUUGGACAUGGAGCCCCUACCAUCUAUGAUCCUCUCAUCGUUGCCACCACACCAGCAGAGAUGGGAGGCCAGUACGCACUUCAUGGAGGGACGAGAUGGACUGGAGAAGCAGGACUUCUUGUGGCUGCAGAGACGCUUGGAGUUUGGGGACAAGAACUUCAACCACACUGUCUGAAAACACAGCCUGAGGGGGCCUGACAGACACUGCGGUGACCACUCAUGUCCUUCCAAUCCUGCUGCCCCUGACUCCUCUUCCUCCACCUGACUUCCUGGUGAUGCUUGCUCUCCAAGUGCUUUUCCCAGAAUUCCCCUGUUCACUGCAGCCAGGAUGAGACUCCCUGCUGGUGACCUUUCCUCCUCCUCCUCUCCUCCAGGAGGGGUAAAGCAAGGGAAUCGCCGUCCUUACCCCAGCAAGCUGAAGGCUCACUACAGGAUCCAGUCCCAAGUUUCUCAUUUUUAAUAGAGAGUUCUAGAAGUCGGUAUUUUCCUUUGCUUGCUCUGGCAAAGGCAUCUUUAACACCUUCACUUGCGUGGACGUGGGUCUGAGGGGACACAGCGGCGGCCGUAGGCUCCCGGCUCCGGCGCUAAGUCUCUGCAGAGACAUUGUAGCCUGAGUGGCAUGAGUGGCAGUCGUGUCAUCCAGGUGCCGGGAGCAGCAGAGACAGCAGCUCUGACCAAGGGUCAGGCGUCCUGCAUCAGAGGCGUCAGUGACAUCUGCACCCUCCGCUGGAAACGUCCCCAGUUUUUUGUUCAGGGAGACACUGCUUUGGGCAAUAGCCCUGGUGUCCUCCUGCACCUGUAAGUAAAACCCUUCCUUCUCCUAUUCUUCUGUUUGCCUUUGUCUUUUGCCUUGAACCCACCAAGAGGGGAACCCAGUUUGGGGUAACACCACUGCCAACCUGACAACCUCACCUGGCAUUUCCUUUUUUAUUUUUACCUAAUAUUUUAUUUAUUUAUAUGAGAGAGAAGCCACAGGCAGAGGGAGAGGGAGGAGCAGACUCCCACGGAGCAGGGAGCUGGAUGUGUGUUCCA